GCGGAUGUGGUGGAAUUGGUAGACACGCUGGCUUCAGGUGUCAGUGGGAGCAAUCUCGUGAAGGUUCGAGUCCUUUCAUCCGCACCA
rnacentral:tRNA from 1 species